UAUGAAACAGUUGAUCAUUAU
rnacentral:piRNA from 1 species